AGUCACGAUAGGAGCGGUAAUAAGUUUUUAAGCGAGAGUAGAGCGGGACACGUGAAAUCCUGUCUGAAGUGGAUUUAAUUCCGAGGGUGGACCAGUUCAUCCAAGCCUAAGUACUCCUUUAUGACCGAUAGUGAACAAGUACCGUGAGGGAAAGGUGAAAAGAACCCCGAUAAGGGGAGUGAAAUAGAAACUGAAAUCGAAUGCUUACAAGCAGUCAGAGCCGGUUAGCCGGUGAUGGCGUACCUUUUGUAUAAUGGGUCGGCGAGUUAAUUUUGUUGUGCAAGCUUAAGCCAUUAGGUGGAGGCGUAGCGAAAGCGAGUCCUAACAGGGCGCAUUAGUACAGCGAAUUAGACCCGAAACUAGAUGAGCUAGUCAUGGCCAGGUUGAAGGUAGGGUAACACCUACUGGAGGACCGAACACGUAACUGUUGCAAAAGUUUGUGAUGAGCUGUGAUUAGGGGUGAAAGGCUAAACAAAUCUAGAUAUAGCUGGUUCUCCGCGAAAUCUAUUUAGGUAGGGCGUCAUGUAUUACUGUUGGGGGUAGAGCACUGUCAAGGCUAGGGGGUCCAAAAGACUUACCAAACCUUAACAAACUCCAAAUACCAACAAGUUUAGUAUGGCAGGCAGACAGCGGGUGCUAAGGUCCGUUGUCGAGAGGGAAACAGCCCAGACCACCGUCUAAGGUCCCUAAAUUAUCACUAAGUGGGAAAGGAAGUGAAGAGGCCAAAACAACCAGGAGGUUGGCUUAGAAGCAGCCAUCCUUUAAAGAAAGCGUAAUAGCUCACUGGUCUAAAUAAGCCUUUUUGCGCCGAAAAUGUAACGGGGCUAAAGUGAUAUACCGAAGACGUGGGCUCACUGCAUAGUGCAGCUGAGCGGUAGCGGAGCGUUGUGUAAGCCUGUGAAGGUGAACCGUUAGGUUUGCUGGAGGUAUCACAAGUGAGAAUGCCGACAUGAGUAACGAUAAAACGAGUGAAAAACUCGUUCGCCGAAAAUCCAAGGUUUCCUGCUUAAAGUUAAUCUGAGCAGGGUUAGUCGAAACCUAAGGCGAGGCCGAAAGGCGUAGUCGAUGGCAAUCAGGUUAAUAUUCCUGAACCAGAGGGAGAGUGACGGAGUUUACUAUCUUGUAUCUUCUUAACGGAUUGAAGAUGCAAUAUAGUUGCUUCCAGGAAAUAGCCCCCUCAUAUUGUUCGUACCAAAACCGACACAGGUGGAUAGGUUGAAGAUACCAAGGCGCUUGAGAGAACUACACUGAAGGAACUAGGCAAAAUGCAUCCGUAACUUCGGGAAAAGGAUGGCCUUCUUUGGGAAACCAUAGAAAGGUGGCACAAAAAUGGGGGUAGCGACUGUUUAACAAAAACACAGGGCUCUGCUAAAUCAGUAAGAUGAUGUAUAGGGUCUGACGCCUGCCCGGUGCUGGAAGGUCAAGUGAUGGUGUGCAAGCACCUGAUCGAAGCCCCAGUAAACGGCGGCCGUAACUAUGACGGUCCUAAGGUAGCGAAAUUCCUUGUCGGGUAAGUUCCGACCCGCACGAAUGGCGUAACGACUUCCCUUCUGUCUCCAGUGUAGACUCAGUGAAAUUGAAUUUGCCGUUAAGAUGCGGUAUUCCUGCGGUUAGACGGAAAGACCCCGUGCACCUUUACUAUAACUUUACACUGAACUCAAAAAUGAAAUGUGUAGGAUAGGUGGGAGGCUUUGAAGCUCAGGCGCUAGCUUGAGUGGAGCCAACCUUGAAAUACCACCCUUUUCCUUUUUGAUUUCUAACUAUAACAUAUCUAUCUAUGUUUAGGACACUGUAUGGUGGGUAGUUUGACUGGGGCGGUCGCCUCCCAAAGAGUAACGGAGGCGCGCAAUGGUAAGCUCAGACUGGUCGGAAAUCAGUUUUAGAGUGUAAUGGCAUAAGCUUGCCUGACUGCGAGACCUACAAGUCGAGCAGAGACGAAAGUCGGUCAUAGUGAUCCGGUGGUUUCUGUAUGGAAGGGCCAUCGCUCAACGGAUAAAAGGUACGCCGGGGAUAACAGGCUGAUGAUUCCCAAGAGUUCAUAUCGACGGAAUCGUUUGGCACCUCGAUGUCGGCUCAUCACAUCCUGG
rnacentral:rRNA from 1 species